rnacentral:lncRNA from 1 species
AUGAGCUUGGAGGAACACUCUUCCCCAAGCCUGCAGAUGGAAGCACAGCCAGCCCAAUAUCUCGAUUUUGGCCUUGAGACUCUGAGCAGAGAACCUAAUCAACCCCGCCCAGGCUUCCCACCUACCGAAAUGGAGAUAAUAACAACUGUUGUUUUAAGUCACCAAAUUUGUGGUAAUCUUUUAUGCAGCAAUAGAAAACUAAUAUACAUAGCAUCUUUAAAAGCCUAUGAAAACCAUGGAGAGUAUAUUGCAAGGAAGAUAGACUCGGGAGAUGACACCAGCCUCAGGAGUCAUUGCUGUUUUCUGUACAAGAAAUAAUAAACUGUGUUUCUUCUUUCUACACAAUGCUUACGACUGUUUUGUGGCAAGAGGAAUUCUGAACGUUGAUGUCGGUGACGCUCACUUUAAAUGCCUGUGGCAUUAGUGCAAUCUAAUGGAAAGCUACUGUCUGGCAUUCCCAAUGGCCACUGAAUUCAUUAGCUUUUAAGACAAUCCACAGGGAAACACUUAAACAUGUAUAAAAGCCACUAUGCAAAAUAAAGAUUUGAUUAUUAAAACCUCUAAGACAUGAAGUACUAUUCUAUAUGUUGGUUUUGUUUAGAUAUGAUGCUUAUUGAACAUAAUUUCAGGACUAUUUUAGGCUCAAUAUUUGCAUUUCAGUUUCACAUAAAAAUGUUACAUAAUGCAUUAAUGCAUUUUAUAAUGUGUUAAAGAGAUUGAUACCAAUUCAUGCCUACCGGUUAAAGAGUGGGGUUUAUACUUUCUUGAUCCAGUUUUAUCUUGUUUUUUUGAGACAGUCUUGCUCUGUUGCUCAGGCUAGAGUGCACUGGUGCGAUCUCAGCUCACUGCAACAACUGCCUCCCAGGUUCAAGCGAUUCUCCUGCCUCAGCCUCCUGAGUAGCUGGGAUUACAGGAUCCCACCACCACACGUGGCUAAUUUUUUUUUUUUUUUUUUUGUAUUUUUAGUAGAGACGGGGUUUUGCCAUGUUGGCAAUUUUGGUAGCUCCUGACCGCAGGUGAUUCACCUGCCUCAGCCUCCCUAAGUGCUGGGAUUACAAGUGUGAGCCACUGUGCCUGGCCUCAGUUAUUUGUUUAUUCACAUUGUUUUUAAGAGACAAGAGUCUUGCUCAGUCACCUGGCCUGGAGUGCAGUGGUGUGACCAUAGCUCAUUGCAACUUCGAACUCCUUGGCUCAAAUGAUCCUUCACUUCAGCCUCUCUAGUAUUUGGUACUACAGGUAUAUUCCACAGCACCCAGCUAAAUUUUUUUUAUUUUUUGUAGAGACAGGGCAGUCUCACUUUGUUGCCCGGGCUGGUCUCGAACUCCUAGCUUCAGGUGAUCCUCCUGUCUUGGCUUCCCAAAGUGCUAGGAUUACAGGCAUGACCCACUGCACUUGGCUCAUUUUUUUUAAGUGCUAAAUACCCACCAUCCGCACGGAAUUAAGUCAGGGAAAUGAGAGGUGAAUAUAAAGACAAUAAUUUAAUUCAAAAACGUUGCAAAAGAACACUGAAAUCAGAUCUCCCUUAUGUUACCAACACUGCUCUCCAAUUUAAGCCCUGAAGUUACUUCAGCUUUCUUAGCCUCAUAAGUGGAUGAAGAGGUGGAAGUGAAGUAAGAGUUAGGGAAUAGAAAUCACAAACAUGAACCCUGUGUGCCUCACAGCUUUACCUCUGAACCCAGUAGAGACCACAUAAAGCAAAGAUGGUUACAAUUUCCCUUGGAAACUUGCCUGAAACCUUCAUUGUCUUGAUUGAUCAGACUCCUCUCUGGAUUCUCCUUCCUCACCUGUGAGGCGAAUCUUGGCUCCCAGUGGACUGCAGAACCAGGAGCCUCUAAGACAGAGGAUCCUCUCACCCCUAGUUCUCAUUCUCUCUCUCGCUCUCUCAUACACACACAAACACAAACACACACACACACACACACUCUGGAGUCACUGGCUUAGAAGUUCUCUUACUGGGAUACUCAACCUUAACCACUGAUCUUCAAGUCUGACCAUUCGAUCAUACUUGCCUAUUAACAAACCAAGCUCUACGUUGAACUGAUACCAAGGAGUUUUGGUAACAAUCCAAAUUAUUUCUCAUGUAUCCAAAGCAAUAGAUAUACACAAACACAAUAUACAUAUAUGUGUGUAUAUGUAAAUUAAGCCUAUAUAUGCAAAUUGAGUCCUAAGAACCUGGCUAUAGAAAUAUGCAAAUUAAAUUUUAGUUUAAGCAAAUUAAGCAAUAAACAUCUUUAGAAAUGAA